CACCGGCAUCACUGCAGAUUACUGGGAGGAGUGAGGCAGCAGCAGGGUUGGUGGGAUGCAGAUGUAGCACUGGAGUUAAAUGGAUGCCCCCACUUGCACCGACUUCGCUGCUGCUUCACCCCUCCCAGUUCGUUGCAGUGAUGCUGGU